GAUAAUAGUAAUAUUUUCCCUAAUGACCGAGUCUAAUAUAUUUGGGAAAAAGGUCACUAGGUAUGAAAAAAAAAUCUGAAACACUAGAUCAAUACGUGUGAAUUGUAUCAAUUAAGUACCUAAAAUCAAUAAAAGUAUAGUAUUGAUAGUAUUAAUUUUUAAAAUAAAUCAUACCUAUUAUGGAACCACUAAAAGCAAGCAACUCCUUUUACAAAAACGUGAUGUCACAUAAUGGUUAUUCUCAAAACGGGUUUUUCCUUAGCGAUAUUUAUUUUUUAGUAUCCACACUGGCCGGAAGACCGCGCUAUUUAGCGCACUGAAGUUCGUAACUCACAGCAGAAUGAUCGUCUCAUUAGUUCACUGAUGCUGUUCUCUCAGUAUUAAUAAAAAUAUUAAUAAAAACUACGUAAUUAUGUGCAAUAAAUACACAGUGGUUAAUUGUUUUGGUGUAAAUAGCAAUUAAUUUAAAAAUGAAAGUGAAUUUGUUUAGUUUGUUUCUCAUAUUUGUGAUAUUAGCUUUAAGUUUACAAGAAUCUCUGGCUGCCAAAAAGCAUAGGCGAUGCAAGUACGAUUGUGACGAGUACUGCCAAACAAAGGGAUCCAGCUCUGGUGUAUGCUUACGGUCCAUAUGCAAGUGUUCUGCGCUCAAUACAAUAUUUGAUUAGGCCGUCGAGAAAGUACGAGAAUGUUCCAUGGAUUUAGAAUAAUAAAUUGUUAGAUAGUAGGCA